AAGAAAUCAUUUUGUCUUCGUAGUUGAAAUGUAUUUGCUUGACUGUUUCGUGAGCCCACUGUCAUAGUUAAAACAUAAGAAACUAAAGACAUUUAUCUUUGCUUUCGUUCACCUCCUCUUAUGUAAACCAAUAAACAUGUCACAUAUAUUUUAUAAAAAAAAAUUUAAAUCAAAAGAAAAAAACAAAACUAAAAUCAUAAACGAAAGAGUCACCUUCUUCGUUCUUUACUUUUUAGAUUUUUCAUUAACGAUUUCAGUCGUUUUUUCUGAGACCAACACUCUAUAAUUCUAGAG
rnacentral:lncRNA from 1 species